AUGACAAGGAUUCUAAGUUUUUUUUUUGGUUUUAAUUUGUUUGGUCAUAAAACUGAAAAUGGUAGACUAAUUACUAAUGUGAAUGUGUGUCUUAUUAACAGAGUGGAGUGGUGCCAUAGAGCAGCACGCAGGCAAGGGUGGGGGUCGGGUCAAGGCUGUUGUUGGCGGCCUGGAUGCAGGCGAUGGUGGCGGCCGGCGGGGGUCUGGCGGGCGAGGGAAGGAGCAGCAAGGCUGGUGAUGGGCCAAGCGCCACCAGAGGAGGGUGAAGGAGCGACUUCGUGCUUCGCAACAACAGUUCGUGUCCAUGGUCCUCUUUCCUUUCGUACUAAUCAGCUCAUUGUUCUUGUUCAUACAUGUAGGCCAUACAUGCUCAUUUUUCUUGCCUGUAUUUUUUCUUGUUUAUACCUACAGAAAAAUUUGCGGUGGUGA
rnacentral:rRNA from 1 species